rnacentral:rRNA from 1 species
CGUGCACGCUGGCGGUAGGCCUAACACAUGCAAGUCGAACGGCAGCACAGUAAGAGCUUGCUCUUACGGGUGGCGAGUGGCGGACGGGUGAGGAAUACAUCGGAAUCUACUUUUUCGUGGGGGAUAACGUAGGGAAACUUACGCUAAUACCGCAUACGACCUACGGGUGAAAGCAGGGGAUCUUCGGACCUUGCGCGAUUGAAUGAGCCGAUGUCGGAUUAGCUAGUUGGCGGGGUAAAGGCCCACCAAGGCGACGAUCCGUAGCUGGUCUGAGAGGAUGAUCAGCCACACUGGAACUGAGACACGGUCCAGACUCCUACGGGAGGCAGCAGUGGGGAAUAUUGGACAAUGGGCGCAAGCCUGAUCCAGCCAUACCGCGUGGGUGAAGAAGGCCUUCGGGUUGUAAAGCCCUUUUGUUUGGAAAGAAAAGCAGCAGGUUAAUACCCCGCUGUUCUGACGGUACCCAAAGAAUAAGCACCGGCUAACUUCGUG